CUUUCACAUUCACAAAGCUAACUAUAAUACCCAUGGAUGUGUUAGGUUAAACAACUCACAUCCCUGGCACUCACAGGCCUCUCAACUCACGACUUCUUAGAAAUAUAACUGAAGCAGACAGAAGUGAAGGAAGUUGAAGCAGACAGAUUCAAGGACGAUGACACGCUUGAUAGUGGUUCCACAGAGAGGACAAUUGUGUGCUAUUGUGCUAAGGCAGAUGCUGUGAAAAGCAGCCUAGCUGAGGAUCUGAAGUGGGACCUUUGAUUAAAAUGUGGCUCCACAAUGCUGGAGACCGGGAUGGGGAAGGGACGAAAGGACCAGAAGGUGGGUCCUGAAUCCUGAGGGGAUUGAUUUCUAAUGUACUUAUUGUGUCAUAAUAAUGUACCUAUGUGACUGUUGUUCUGUGAAACAUUUUAUUCAUAUUUAUUCAUUUUAUUCACAUAGUGUGUCCAUAGUGGGCCAUGCUGUGGCAGCAGCAUGCUUUGGGGCUGUUUUUCUUCAGCUGGAACUGGGGCUUUAAUCAAGGUGGAGGGAAUGAUGAACAGUUCCAAAUAACAGUCAGUUUUGGCACAAAACCUUCAGGCGUCUGCUCAAAAGCUGGAGAGGAAUAUGAAUUUUAUUUUGCUGAUAGACUCCUACACAAAAAGAUUUUUUAUUUUUAUUUCCCCCCCCCUGAAAACAUUUCAGUUUGUUUUGAAAUUGAAUUGGACAGGUUAUAGGUCACAUAAAUUCUGAAUUUGUUUUUUUCUUGCUCUCAUUUUUUUACCACACAAAAGCGUGGCAUUCACAGGGCUGUGUAGACUUUUUUUUAUAUCCACUGUACGUCUGCAGGUACAGUGGAUAUAAAAGUAGUAAAUAAAUAAUAAAUUUACAAACUUUUUUUUGCUGAAUUACACUCACCUACAUGUUUAAUUUUUUACAGUGUACAAAAUUUUACCUUCUACAUUGUUUAAAAGAUUUGACACCCUGAUCAUUCAUAUGGGAAAACUGGUUGAAAAAAGAGUAGGCUAAUACCUGAGGAGGAUUUGUGCUAAAUGUAGUAAAAGCGUACUUGUAUCCACUGAAGCAGUUACCAAACUCCAACAUAUACAUAUACCAAAAAUCACAAACAAACAUGUAUUAAGAUACAAACAUUGUAAUUAAAUGAAUGAAAAGGCCUUUAUUUGUGUUUGCUGAGCUGAAUGAACAUUUGUGUUUGUGGUCAUCAAAGUGGACGACCGUGCUGGUGCAUGUACACGCGAAAGAUAGUGAGUCACCCUUAUUAUAAAAGACUAUUAUAUAUUCAUGUCAGAAACUGGCUCAGUGCAUGUGACAAAGAGAAGGUGAUUAAUGUUUCAUUGGAAAUAAAACAGCAAAGCGUCUGAAUACUUUUGUCCAUCAGUAGUGAAGGUCAGUGUUCCUGUUGAACACAGCAGAAAUGUCAAAACAAACCUAAAGAACAUUAUAUGAUAUUAUUAUAUGCUAUACACUGCUCAUAAUGUGACUCAUUAGUGUGUAUGGCCUUCACAUGCACUCCCGACAUCUGGGCAUGCUGCUGAUGAGUGGGCGGAUGGUGUCCUGGGGGAUCUCCUCCCAGAACUGGAUCAGGGCAUCAGUGAGCUCCUGGACGGUCUGCGGUGGUACUUGGCGACGUCAGAUGCACCGAUACAUAACGUCCCAUAGGUGCUCAAUUGGAUUCAGGUCAGGGGAACGUGAGGGCCAGUCAAUGGCAUCAAUGCCUUCGUCAUCCAGGAAGUGCCUACACACUCUGGCCACAUGAGGCUGGGCGUUGUCCUGCACCAGGAGGAACCCAGGGCCCACUGCACCAGCAUGAGGUCCGACAGUCGCUCUGAGGAUUUCAUCCCAGUACCCAGUGAGACCUCCAUGCUUUCUGAUCCAGAAGAAAAACAGCUGCUCAUUUAGAGGAGAUGAGAUGAGGUGACAAGGAGAGGAGAGGAGAGGAGAAAAGGAGAGGAAAUAAGGAGAUGAGAGGAGAGAGGAGAGGAGAGGAGAUGAGAGGAGAGGAAACGAGAGAGGAGAGGAGAGGAAAUGAGGAGAGGAAACAAGGAGAGGAGAGGAGGCCCCUGGUCUCGCAGUUCGGGGCCACAUAUAGAAGAACCACACGCUGCUCAUAGACCAGGAGCUGGUUCAGAGACCAGGAGCUGGUUCAGAGACCAGGAGCAACUCUUAGACCAGGAGCUGGUUCAGAGACCAGGAGCUGGUUCAGAGACCAGGAGCAACUCAUAGACCAGGAGCUGGUUCAGAGACCAGGAGCAACUCAUAGACCAGGAGCUGGUUCAGAGACCAGGAGCUGGUUCAGAGACCAGGAGCAGCUCAUAGAACAGGAUCUGGUUCAGAGACCAGGAGCUGGUUCAGAGACCAGGAGCAACUCAUAGACCAGGAGCAGCUCAUAGACCAGGAGCUAGUUCAGAGACCAGGAGCAGCUCAUAGACCAGGAGCAGCUCAUAGACCAGGAGCUGGUUCAGAGACCAGGAGCAACUCAUAGACCAGGAGCAGCUCAUAGACCAGGAGCUAGUUCAGAGACCAGGAGCAGCUCAUACACCAGGAGCUGGUUCAGAUGUGGUCAGACACUGGUCUGCUGCUGUAAAUAACUGUUGUUGUUGCUGAGUUUCUCGGGAGGAGGUGGAGGUCAUGUUGUUUGCAGCAGACUCUUGUGGGACUUUCGCUGUGGUGAACUGGGGCAUUGUGGGGCAUCAGACUGUUCAUGGCUCAGUCACCAAGAUCGAUUAAGUGAAACCAAUCGACAUACAGCGUGUGAAAUGGGGGCUGCUACUUUCAAGUGUCUCACACUGACUCUUUGUGAAGAUGAGGCUGAUCUAACUGAUUAAUACACAAACAAGCAGCCAGCCCGUCACAUGAUGCUGAGGCUGCAGGACAAUGUGUGUCAGUGAGGACGGGUUGGACACGGACUUUCAUCAGUGCUGAAUGUCUCUGUCUGAACUCUGUCCUCCCACUGGGACCAGCAACAGUCUAGGUCUGGGUUUCUUUCUCUCACUGUGUCUUUAGUACCUGCAGUGGAGUCCAGUGGGGCCCCUCUUGGCCGGGGCCCUUAAACUGGAACAUAGCGUAGCUGUGAGCCAAUGUCAACAGUUACGUUCACCUGUGACUACUGAGUAAGCUAGUUAGUUAACCAACAAGAGAUUAUCAGCUGUUUUGAAGGAGUAAGUGACAAAACUAAAGCAACUGUCACAAACUGUCACAGACUGUGACUGAGGAGAGCCUUCGUCUGGACCCUCGGACAUAAAGAGCACAUCAGCUGCAGUGAUGCUUUUUUCUGGAGGUUUCUAAUACGUUAUCCUGAUGAGACUGACGAGGAGAAAAUGAAUUUAGAUGAUUUUAUGUGAAGUGAAUGAACCGCGGUCUGUGGUUGGUUCCACAGUGUUAAUGAGAAUUGAUUUUACAUGUCAGAUUAAAUCACGUUUCUCCAGAUGUUCCAGGCAGUUGAGUUAAGUGAAGGUAUGAAUGCACAUGAAAACACAGUUUAAUGUGCAGUCACAGGUAGCUACAGGUACGACCAUAUAACUGCUGAAGCCUCUUCAUCCUGGAGGCCAUGUUGUUGUUUAGUAGCAAUGAUUACUUAUUGAGUUUGGACCCCUGCCGAUAACUUUUCUUUUGUUUUUUACUGUUGUUUUCUUUUUUUCUUUCCUUUUUUCUUUUCUUUCUUUCUUUUUUUCUGUUCACUUUGUAAUGGUAAUAUGUUACAGUGCAUGUUGUAAAUGAUUAAAUAAAUGAAUAAAGGUCCAGGUUUUCAUAGGGACAGCUGGACAACUUCAGACAUGUUGCUGUUGAUAUCAGCCAACCUCCUGAGGCCCUCAGCUCUGAGUAUGCUGUAAAGUCUGUGGGCAGUCAUUUCACAUAUG